UACGGAGGGUGCAAGCGUUAUCCGGAUUUACUGGGUUUAAAGGGUGCGCAGGCGGAUAUGUAAGUCAGUGGUGAAAUCUCUAGGCUUAACCUGGAAAUUGCCGUUGAUACUAUAUAUCUUGAAUGUUGUGGAGGUAAGCAGAAUAUGUCAUGUAGCGGUGAAAUGCUUAGAUAUGACAUAGAAUACCUAUUGCGAAGGCAGCUGGCUACACAGAUAUUGACGCUGAGGCACGAAAGCGUGGGGAUCAAACAGG
rnacentral:rRNA from 1 species